AACCCUAAUCAUUUCCUCAAAAUAUUCAGCCGUUUCUCUAUCUUGCUUCUCUCCUUCGUUCUCAAUCGAGCUUCUCCUACAUCAAAGAUCUAUUUGUUUUUCUACUCUUCACCUUCAUCGCAAUCUAACAGCUAUUUGGAGGUUCGAUUUCUGUUGAUUGACUUCGAUUUAUUUCACACAAACCAAAAGCUGACCUACUGCCGUAGACCACCUCUUCAUCCUAAACUCUCUUGCACCAUCAGAUGCGUAUGCAAGGAUAUCAAGAGGUGAUGAAAUGACAACCUACUAAGAAUUUUCCCCCUUAUCGGGCCAGGGUAAAGGUUCCAGAAACAACAUCCCAACAACUGGACCAGAACUUCUUAGCCAGUUUCGAAACCAAAUUUCUUAAGAUUUCUUGUGAUUGUGAUGGAGACGAUUUGCUACCAAUUAACAUAGGGGAAUAUGCAGUUGGAAAGCUUAUAAGCUCCUCUCUGGAAGAUGAGGAACCCCAAACCCUUUUCAGCUUGUGGGAAAUAUUGUUGGGAAACUUGGCUUUGAAGUAAGGAGAUGUCUUAGCAUGUAUUUGACCACAGUUGACUAAUAUUUUCAUUUUGAAAAUUCGUCAUCAGCCUUGCGAUGUAUAAACUCUCUUGCACCAUCAGAUGCGGCUACAAGGAUAUCAAGAGGUGAUGAAAUGGCAACCUACUAAGAUUUUUUUCCCUGAGCUGAUCAACACACAUAACAUUACAAGUAUCUGGAAGACACUGGCUGAAAUAUGAUGCACAAGGGAAGAUUCUUUCAAAUGGAACUCUUCAAGUGUGUGUGUGUGUGUGCGCGCGUGCGCGCACGCGCGCGUACGUACGUAUUAUGUAUUAUU
rnacentral:lncRNA from 1 species